rnacentral:pre_miRNA from 1 species
AUUAUACUCCCUCCGUCCGAAAAUACUUGUCAUCAAAAUGGAUAAAAAGGGAUGUAUCUAAAACUAAAAUACAUCUAGAUACAUCCCUUUUAUCCAUUUUGUUGACAAGUAUUUCCGGACGGAGGGAGUAUAUA